CUUGAUUUCCGAUUCUGAUAUCAACUCUUCUGUGUCUCAGAGACAAUACUAUGAACAUUACUACUAAUAGUUUCACUUUCACUUCAAAACUAUUUUUGGUCACAUCAUCUGGGAGAAACCCAGACAGAUCACGUUCUCCGGUUUUCGUUACGAUUUUUACCGGUAUUACAUAAUUAAGCUAAUAUCGACCGAUGAUAUCGGUCGGUCGACACCAAUCCAAGUCCAAUCCCAUGUAUAUAUGAAUGUACUUGAUAACUGUGUUUGUGAACCUGCAGCUAACAUCGGUGAGUUUUUCCAUUUCUAAAGGUUUUAGCUACAGACGCUCCGAUCACAUUUGUUACGACUGUUGACAGGUUUCUGUUCCCCCACCCUUUUUUUUAUCUUCCCGGAACGUUUCCCUCGUCAAAUGUUGAUCGCCUCACCUUUCCUGCCCUCUAUAAAUUCCAGGUCUGGACACCUUCUGCUGAAACUGCCCAUAACGUCCACACGGACGUUUUACAGCCAAUGAAAAGGAUCAGGAGUCACUUCAUAUCAACGGGUCAAAGAGUCAGAAAACAUCGCUCCCCUGUGGAGGAAACCAUUAGAAAAAAACCAAACUGUGAGAAUCAGAAAGAUAAAGUCAUGUUUUAUUCUAGUCUCUCGUUCUGGGUUCUCAGUUCCAGUCCUGGUCGGUCCAAACAUGUGUGAAAGACACAAACUGAACACUGAGUUACAGCAGCAGCAGCUCAGUCAGCUGACACCGUUUCACCUUCAUCUGAUCAACAGUUUCACCAAAUUCACUCCCAGAAAUAAAAACACACACGUCUGAACGGUUGGCUUUGGCAGGAGACCAGAUCUGAGUCUGUAAAUCCUGGUCUGAGCUUCUGUGUCUGCUGGGUUUUUAUUAUCAUCAUCCACAGACGACUGGAUCCAGCAGCAGUUUCACAGAGGACAGACUCUUUCUCCAAAUGUUGAGAUUAUUUUUUAUUUAAAUAACGCCACAAACAGAAAUUCAAUUCUUACUUCGUAUUUAUUUAAAAAAAAUUGUCAAACACCUGAUUCUUGCCUAAUUCUCAUGAUAAAUUUCAUUGAGUCACUUUUAUUAGUCAAAUUAUUUAGGAAAACAAAAAUUGAAAAAUUAAUCAAACAAUCAAUUCAAACUCUAAUCUUACAACUGUUUCAGAUUCAGGUGCAUUUUUUAUAAUUUUCUGCCAAAAGUUAAGUCUGUUUUUUUUUUAAACACAUUUUCAGAAUUCCAAGACAACUUUUUUAUUCAAAUUCUUCGUCAGCUCCACAGCCAUUGUUUACAUACAGUAUGUUGUUGUCCAAUCAGGACGUGUAGUCGAGGAGCCAACAACAGUUAGGUCGAAAUCCCUUGUUUAAUUACGGCAUUUUCUAACAAUUAGAAACUCUGUGCUGUAAGUGGAUCAGUCCAGACCCAGGGUCAGACUAGACCCAGGAUCAGUCCAAACUCAGGAUCAGUCCAGACUCAGGGUCAGACUCAGGAUGAGUCCAAGUCAACGGUCAGUCCAGACCAAGGGUCAGGAUUAGGACCAGUCAAGGCCCAGGGUCAGACUAGACUCAGGACCAGUCCAGACUGAGGUCCAGACUCAUGUUGCCAGCUCGGUGGUAAACAUGCAUUUUCCCCUCAGUUUCUUUGUAAACAACAACAACAACAACAUGAAACUGAAUCUGAUGAAUUAAAAAAGAAACAAACAAAAAAAAAAACUCCUCAGUGAACAGAGGGUGAAGAGAAGGUGCAGCGAACAGUACGUUCUCGAUAGCAGUCUCCUGUGUGUGGAAAUAAUCUGUGGUUUCUUUCACAGCU